CAGUCGCCGCGGUAAUACGAAGGGUGCAAGCGUUAACCGGAAUUACUGGGCGUAAAGCGUGCGUAGGCGGUUUGUUAAGUCUGUUGUGAAAUCCCCGGGCUCAACCUGGGAAUGGCAAUGGAUACUGGCAAGCUAGAGUGUGUCAGAGGAUGGUGGAAUUCCCGGUGUAGCAGUGAAAUGCGUAGAGAUGUGGAAGAACACCGAUGGCGAAGGCAGCCCCCUGGGCCAAUACUGACGCUCAUGCACGAAAGCGUGGGGAGCAAACAGGAUUAGAUACCCCUGUAGUCCCUGUCUCUUAUAC
rnacentral:rRNA from 1 species